UGGGGAAUUUUGGACAAUGGGGGCAACCCUGAUCCAGCAAUGCCGCGUGUGUGAAGAAGGCCUUCGGGUUGUAAAGCACUUUUGUCCGGGAAGAAAUCGCCCUGGCUAAUAUCCGGGGUGGAUGACGGUACUGGAAGAAUAAGCACCGGCUAACUACGUGCCAGCAGCCGCGGUAAUACGUAGGGUGCGAGCGUUAAUCGGAAUUACUGGGCGUAAAGCGUGCGCAGGCGGUUGUGCAAGACAGAUGUGAAAUCCCCGGGCUUAACCUGGGAAUGGCAUUUGUGACUGCACGGCUAGAGUGUGUCAGAGGGGGGUAGAAUUCCACGUGUAGCAGUGAAAUGCGUAGAUAUGUGGAGGAACACCGAUGGCGAAGGCAGCCCCCUGGGAUAACACUGACGCUCAUGCACGAAAGCGUGGGGAGCAAACAGGAUUAGAUACCCUGGUAGU
rnacentral:rRNA from 1 species